UUCUUGGCGUUACCUCGUAAAUCAGCAAAGGUGUGAGACGCCACUCACCGCUUAAGCUAAUUUGUCAAGAUGUGUGUGUGACUGACGAAGGCGAGUUUGAAGGAGUCUUCAUCAAAGUAUCUCAAAGUGUAUGUGUGGGCAUAUGUGGAACAAAGUAUUGUUUGUUUUCUGUGUGAAUGGGCGACAACUUUUUGCUGAAAACAAACCGCCGACCCACUUUUCGUACACAAUACAAAAGGGAGAAGGGGAGAAGGAUAAACAGGACAACAACAUGCUGGAGUAACUGCAUCGUAAAGGAAAACUCAUUUAAUAACUGCCACUGCUGCUGCUGUUGCUGAUGUUCUUGAUGUUGACUGUCUGUCCCUGUUAUAUCCCUUUUAUGUAAGGCCUACUUUUCUCUUCUGAACUAAGAUAAUGGAAUGGAAUGUAAUGUAAGCGCAAACAAGUCACAUAUUGUAUACAGCAUCACAUGGCAAUUUCUCAUUUGGAACGACAGCGACGAACAUUUCAUCAAAAUUGCGCUUACCAAAUGCUGUUGUAUAUAUGCGCAGGUGCUGGACAGAAAAUCCGUUUAGCUAGCCAAAAUGCUGACAGGCGACUAAUUACUUGGCAAAGAGCAAUGCUAAAGGGAUUUCGUUGUCCUGCAAAAAUGGCUCAUACCACGUGCGUGUGCAAAAAUCCAUGGACUAACCAAAAGCUUUCGAGUGGCAAUUUCCCCUCCGGACGCCAAAGACGAGGAAUUUCUCAAUUAGACGAACCAGCAGAGCAACAAAUUGAUUGAUUUCUAGCUUCGUAUUGAAAAGUGUCGGGUCACAGAGGUGAUGGCUGCGACUGGGACAGGCUCUGCGACUUGAGAUAAGCCAAGUUGCAGACGAUGCAGGCAGGAGAUAGAUAUACCACCUAUCGCAUGCAAGCUGUCGAGAAUGUAAUCCUGUUACACUAAACUUUACAGAGAGACAGAGGCCCAACCCUAAGCACCGUGUCUCAGCUUCCUCGGCAAAUGCGCAAUUUUCAGCUUGACUUGGCGCAUAAAACAAAUUUCAUGAUGAGCACAAGAGAGGAAUGGAGGGAAGGAACAGCAACAUGUCAACCUUAAUUGAAAAAAAGAAGAGGAAAAGCAAAGGCACAGCAUCCUUGCAUCCUUUCGUUUUAUUCUAUUUUCCUUCUUAUUGUCUCUGUAUACAUAUAUAAAUUUGGUAGCGGCUGUUCAUUUACAGGACAACGCACCUUUUCUUCGCGUGCGAUUUUUUUCGAAAGUAAAUUGCGCUGCUCAAUUACAGCAGAUCCUUUUGCUUACUCCCAUUUGAAUCCUUCACCGUUGACUUGGCCGGGACAAUUGCUAGGCAGAAGGGGAAGCAAAAAAGGGGGCCAUCUAUCGUAUGUUACUACGUUUCAAAUUAAAAUUUCAUUUAAUGCGCAACAAGGAAAACAAGGACCGAGUUACCUUUGAAUCAACAAAGAUAUGGUCCUAUCUACGCGAUCCACUUUUCCUUAUCUUUUUUUUGCCAACUUCAGAUUUAUUUCCAUCUUGCUGUUUCUUCCUCGAUGCCUAAUGAACCCUAAUUCCACUAUUUAAUAAUUCAGCGCAUAAAUAUUAAAUUAACCCCUUUUUGAAGUGCCUUAAAGUAUGCAGCACUUUGCGAGCAAAGC